AGCCCUAGAAAAAAUCUAAGGUGAUGCCUGCCCUAUGGUUAAUUUAAUUUUCUAAUGAAAAAAAUACUUUACUAAAUGGCCGCAGUAUUCCUGACUGUGUUAAGGUAGCACAAUAAAUUGCCGCUUAAUUGGCGGAUUGUAUGAAUGGUAAUACGAGAAUUUCACUGUCUCAAAUGUAAAAAUAAAAAAAUUGAAAUAGUAGUUAAGAUGCUACUUUAAAACGUAAGACGAUAAGACCCUAUAAAGCUUAACUAUAAUUCAUAAUUAUAUGUAUAUAAUUAUGAAUUGGUAGUUUACUUGGGGCAAGGACUUUUUAGAAAUAAAAAAAGUAAGCAAUAAUAAUAUAACAUUUAUUGUAUAAAUAAUUAUUUUAACAAUUACAAUGUAGGCUAUAAUGACCCGUUUACUCUUGAAAAUAAGGUAAACAAUUAUUAAAUAAAAGCUACUUUAGGGAUAACAGGAUAAUUUUAUCAAAGAGACCAUAUCGCUGAUAAAGUUUGUCACCUCGAUGUUGAAUUAAGAUUUCCUAGUAGAGCAGAGACUACUAAAGGUAGGUCUGUUCGACCUUUAAAUAUCUUA
rnacentral:rRNA from 1 species